AAGAAAGAGAGCUUGCUCUCAUAGUCGGCAGGAGGAGCAUACAGCAGAUGCUUAAACCACGGUCUCCCUCUAAGACCUUCGGCUUCCAAGAAGCCUCUCUCUGUGAGUAUCAUACGAUCAUUAAAAGCUCUCUGUGUGAGUUCUCUAAAAUCUUCUGAAUUUUGUUGUUCUUGCAGCUUCUUAGCUUCUCCUUGAGCUACAUUGGCUGCAUCCAUGAGCUUAUGAAUGGAUGCAUUUACAGGCUGUAGCAACUCGUCG
rnacentral:misc_RNA from 1 species